rnacentral:rRNA from 1 species
AAUCAACGCUGGCGGCGUGCCUCAGACAUGCAAGUCGAACGAUUAAAGCUCUCUUCGGAGAGUGUAUAGAGUGGCGCACGGGUGAGUAACACGUAAGUAAUCUACCUUCGAGUGGGGAAUAACGUCCGGAAACGGACGCUAAUACCGCAUAAUGCAGCGGCAUCGCAAGAUGACAGUUGUUAAAGAUUUAUCGCUUGAAGAGGAGCUUGCGGCAGAUUAGCUAGUUGGUAAGGUAACGGCUUACCAAGGCUACGAUCUGUAUCCGGUCUAAGAGGACGGUCGGACACACUGACACUGAAUAACGGGUCAGACUCCUACGGGAGGCAGCAGUCGGGAAUUUUGGGCAAUGGGCGAAAGCCUGACCCAGCAACGCCGCGUGAAGGAUGAAGUAUUUCGGUAUGUAAACUUCGAAAGAAUAGGAAGAAUUAAUGACGGUACUAUUUAUAAGGUCCGGCUAACUACGUGCCAGCAGCAGCCGCGGUAAG